GAUGAAGAACGCAGCGAAAUGCGAUAAGUAAUGUGAAUUGCAGAAUUCAGUGAAUCAUCGAAUCUUUGAACGCACAUUGCGCCCCUUGGUAUUCCGAGGGGCAUGCCUGUUCGAGCGUCAUUAUAACCCCUCAAGCUCAGCUUGGUGUUGGGGCCUGCUGCACUGGCAGCCCUUAAAAUCAGUGGCGGCGCCAUCUGGCUCUAAGCGUAGUAAUUCUUCUCGCUAUGGAGUCCUGGUGGAUGCUUGCCAUCAACCCCCAAUUUUUUAAGGUUGACCUCGGAUCAGGUAGGGAUACCCGCUGAACUUAAGCAUAUCAAUAAGCGGAGGA
rnacentral:misc_RNA from 1 species